rnacentral:lncRNA from 1 species
GGCCGGCCUCUGUGUAGUUUUAGAGAGAUAUUCUUUUGCCUCUUUGUUGUUUUUAACCACACAAAAACCCUAAGGAAAAUAUCACUAUAAAGUUCCUUAUAUAGACAAAAGAAACCUAGCCAACAACUUGACCAAAUAUCUCACCAUUUCCACCAAAAGUGGCCGGCCUCUUUGUUGUUUGUUUGGGCUUUGGGCUUUUAAUAUUUCAAGUCAUCCAAUGCUUGAAUAAAAGCCCAAUGGGUUUAGGCCCAAUGGGCCCAAUUAAACCCGAACGUUUCUUUAAGCCCAAAAACGAUCUUUAUCGCUUUUAUGAUUUCUUUAGACUUUCUAAAUUAAUCACAACACUUAAUUAAUCCAAUUAAUUAUUUCCUUCAUCCAUUAGUUACUCACUACAAUAGUGUAUUGGUGAACAAUCUUUUAGGUUCUAAUUAGCAAGGCAGUGAGGUGAUUGGCACCAAUCCAAUUGAUUAUAUUUAAUCCAAUCACUUAGUGAAUUAAAACUUCCUUUUAAUUCACCUUUCUUCUUU